rnacentral:rRNA from 1 species
GGGAAUAUUAGAAAUGGACGAACGUCUGAUCUAGCAACACCGCGUGUGCGAAGAAGGCCUUUGGGUCGUAAAGCACUUUUUGGAAGGAAUAGGAAGGAAUGUACUUCCAGAAUAAGCCUCGGCUAACUACGUGCCAGCAGCCGCGGUAACACGUAGGAGGCAAACGUUAUCCGGAUUUACUGGGCGUAAAGCGCGUGUAGGUGGUACUGUAAGUAGGGCGUGAAAGCUCCUGGCUCAACUGGGAGAGGCCGUUCUAAACUACAGAACUAGAGGAUGGUAGAGGGAGGUGGAAUUCCAGGUGCAGCGGUGGAAUGCGCAGAUAUCUGGAGGAACACCGGUGGCGAAGGCGGCCUCCUGGACCAUUCCUGACACUCAGACGCGAAAGCUAGGGUAGCAAACG